rnacentral:rRNA from 1 species
GGACUACCAGGGUAUCUAAUCCUGUUUGAUCCCCGCGCUUUCGCGCCUCAGCGUCAGUUGUCGUCCAGAUAGCCGCCUUCGCCACCGGUGUUCCUCCUAAUAUCUACGAAUUUCACCUCUACAUUAGGAAUUCCGCUAUCCCCUCCGACACUCCAGCCAUACAGUUUCAAAGGCAAUUCCGGGGUUGAGCCCCGGGCUUUCACCCCUGACUUGAAUGGCCGCCUACGCGCGCUUUACGCCCAGUGAUUCCGAACAACGCUAGCACCCUUCGUAUUACCGCGGCUGCUGGCAC